CAAGCGGUAGGGGCAACAGGUGAAAUGAGACUGGGCCUAAAUCUCCUGUGCAUUGUUCUCAACCAGUAAGUUUCCUUUGUUAGUUUCUUGCAAACUGCAUGCCUCUACAGAAUCUCCUGGAACUGUAUAGAAAUUAAGUGACUUUACAGGACAAAGAAACAAUGGACUUCAUCCGCCAACUAAAAACUAAUUUAAGAGAAAACUUAGGAAGAUAUUGAAAUUGCCCAGGAGGAACUGUUACCCCUUCAACAACAACAGGAAUUGACAAAUGGUGAGUAGACGCAGCAGUGACCCUGAUUUGGGUGCAGUGAUCUGGAGAAGAGGAGCUUCCUCAAAGAGCCCUUUAUGGAGGCCAGAUUGAUGAUGUAAUGGGCUAACAAAGGGCAAGCUUUGAGACGUUCUCCCCAUUACGCUUGAUCUACAAAACUGAGUUUCGGAAACUAGAGAGAAGUUCAGCGUGCUGAGCAUCUACACUGCUGUACAAAAGUUCAUUUGAACUAUGUUAUUUAAAUAGUUUAUACAAUUGAGAAUUAAGCCAAAUCAGAAACGAG
ensembl:lncRNA